ACUUGCACCCGACUGUCUUACGACCCGGUACAUUAUCAACCAAAUUCCAAACUUGGUUGUGGUAUAUGGACUGAAUUUCGCUGUCCAUCGCCUCUUUCCAUUUUGCAGACUCUGGGCCUGCCAUGGAUUCCUUGUAGCUGCUAGCUUCGUCCAAAUUCAUUAGUGUUUCCUCACUAAUAAACGUAUCCCCUUCACUAGUAAUAUGAAAACCAUAAAACUGGGGUUGAAAACUAACCCUACUAGUACAUCUAACAGGUAAGGACUCGUCAACGGGCUCAACAGGAGUUUCCUCCUCGGGUUGAGUGCCAGUGUCAGAGGUUCCUUCAUCGCUUUGCUCUUGAAUCUCUUCAAGAUCAAUUUGCCUCCCAUUGUCUUCUUGGCUCAUUAAUUCCCUUUCUCAGAAAACUCCUCUUCUAGCAAUGAAGACAACAUUAUCAUCCAGUCUAUAGAAAAGAUAGCCAAAAGACUUCGGAGGUGAAAUAACACUUCUCACUACGAGGUUCAAGCUUUUUGUGAUUCUCUCGUCUUCCGAAAGCCUCGCAACCCCAAACCUUAAUAUGUGCCAACGAGGGAACUUUCCCUGUCCACAUCUCGUGAGGAGUCUUGGUAACCUUCUUGGUGGGAACUAAGUUCAUGAUAUGGGCGACAGUCUCUAAGGCAUACCCCCAAAAAGCUAUUGGUAACAAAGUCCAAUUCAUCAUAGAACGAACCAUGUCUAACAAGGUCCGAUUACGUCUCUCAGCCACACCAUAAUUGUGGCGNGACUCAUCAUAGAACGAACCAUGUCCAACAAGGUCCGAUUACGUCUCUCAGCCACACCAUUCAAUUGUGGCGUUCUCGGAGGCGUCAAUUGCGAAACGAUUCCGCAUUCUU
rnacentral:lncRNA from 1 species